rnacentral:rRNA from 1 species
AUGCAUGUCUAAGUACAAAUUGUUAUAAAAUGAAACUGCGAAUGGCUCAUUAAAUCAGCUACAGUUCACUGGGUAAACCACAGUUACUUGGAUAACUGUGGUAAUUCUAGAGCUAAUACAUGCAAUUAUGCCCGCGCUUCACGGCAAGGGUGCUCUUAUUAGAUCAAAACCAACCUGGCUUCGGCCAGAAUUUUUGAUGACUCUGGAUAAUUGGGUGAUCGCAGGACUCAAUGUCGGCGAUUCGCCUUUCAAAAGUCUGCCCUAUCAACUAUAGAUGGUAUAUAACCUGUGUACCAUGGUACUCACGGGUAACGGGGAAUCAGGGUUCGAUUCCGGAGAGGGAGCCUGAGAAACAGCUACCACAUCCAAGGAAGGCAGCAGGCGCGCAAAUUACCCACUCUCAAAACGAGGAGGUAGUGACAAAAAAUAACGAUGCGGGACUCAAUCGAGGCCCCGUAAUCGGAAUGAGAACAAUUUAAAUCCUUUAACGAGGAUCAAUUGGAGGGCAAGUCUGGUGCCAGCAGCCGCGGUAAUUCCAGCUCCAAUAGCGUAUAUUAAAGUUGUUGCAGUUAAAAAGCUCGUAGUUGGAUCUAAGGAUUUGAAUUAACGGUUUGCCUUAUGGUGAUACUGUUGGAUCUGCCUAAAAAUGUCGUGGAGGCUAUUAGUGUUCUUAAUUGAGUGCUUUUAGUGCCCGACGCUAUUACUUUGAGAAAAUUAGAGUGCUUAAAGCAGGCAUAAUGCUUGUAUACUGUUGCAUGGAAUAAUAAAAUAUGAGUUUACUUUUAUUUUGUUGGUAUUCGGAAGUGAACUAAUGAUUGACGGGGACAGUCAGGGGCAUUUGUAUGGAGGGGCUAGAGGUGAAAUUCUGUGACCCUCUCCAGACAAUCUACUGCGAAAGCAUUUGCCAGGAAUGUUUUCAUUAAUCAAGAACGAAAGUCAGAGGUUCGAAGACGAUCAGAUACCGUCCUAGUUCUGACCAUAAAUGAUGCCAUCUAGCAAUUCCCGGAGUUUGCUAGUACGAACUUGGGAGCGGCCCCCGGGAAACCAAAGACUUUGGGUUCCGGGGGAAGUAUGGUUGCAAAGCUGAAACUUAAAGGAAUUGACGGAAGGGCACCACCAGGAGUGGAGCCUGCGGCUUAAUUUGACUCAACACGGGAAACCUCACCCGGCCCGGACACUGUUAUGAUUGACAGAUUAACAGCUCUUUCUUGAUUUAGUGGUUGGUGGUGCAUGGCCGUUCUUAGUUGGUGGAGUGAUUUGUCUGGUUAAUUCCGAUAACGAACGAGACUCUAACCUGCUAAAUAGUACGUUGAUAUUAUAAAGUGAACGAUGACUUCUUAGAGGGACUAAUGGCGUUUAGUCAUGUGAGAAAGAGCAAUAACAGGUCUGUGAUGCCCUUAGAUGUUCGGGGCCGCACGCGCGCUACACUAACUGAAGCAACGGGUAUCAUCCUGGUUAGAAAUGACUGGGUAACCCGCUUGAAUCUCAGUUGUGACUGGGAUCGAGGUUUGCAAUUAUCUCUCGUGAACGAGGAAUUCCGAGUAAGCGCAAGUCAUUAGCUUGCGCUGAUUACGUCCCUGCCCUUUGUACACACCGCCCGUCGCUACUACCGAUUGAACGGUUUAGUGAGAAUUUUGGAUUGG